AUAAAUAAAAUAGCAGCGCUGCGUGGUGUUCUGGAUGCAUCUUGACUGCCAUCGUGUGGUCAUGUUUAGGAAGUGCACCUUCCCCUAAACGGUGUUUAAAGCCGCAGAUUAUAAAUCUAUAUUCCUGCUGAGUGUGUGUUUAUGACCUGGAUGUUGAGUUGCUUUUAAACUUUCUACAUAAGCAGCAUUUCUGGCCUCUGUGAGUCCCAGGUGAUGAUCUUUUAUUUUCAGAUUCUUACUGAGGUGCUGUUUUCCACAUGCAGUGCUUGGCUGUGUUGGAGGUCACCAAGAAAGACUUCCUGGCUGUCAUGUGGAAGCUAAGUGGGCUGGGGUCAAAAGGGUUUCUGGCCAUGGUGCUUGUGCUGCAGUGAUCUUGUUCUCCAUCACCACUCCAACACAGGUAGCCAUCUUCACCCUCUCCCAAGAGGUGAUGUGGUUUGACUUGUGCUACACAGAGGUGAGUCCAGUUAUGCUGCAAGAAGUGUAAGUAUGAUGGGGUUGACGAGUGGGAGGAGAGGUUCUUCCUGUGCAAGGUGCUGCUCUCUCUUCUUUCAGCAUAGCUCCUGGUCUCAGAACAGGUUUAGUUCAUCGUUGCUGGUGUUGUGUAGAGGAUGUUAUAUUGUGAAAGUCACAACUAUCCCUACUCAAGGUCUUGUGAAAUAUUUGACCUUAUUUGUGACUAUAUUCACCAUGAUACUUUCAGCGGUUACUACAUUAGUGUCCUUCAUUUUUUACUAUUUAAAGAUUGUUUAAAAGUUUAUUACAGGCUCAAUGAAUGUUCUUCUCCUUCACUAGAAGAUAAAGGCCCGGUUUCACAGACAGGGUUUUCAUUAAGCCAGGAUUAGAUCUUUGAUCAAUUAGGACAUUUCAGUAGCUUUUAUAAACGUGUCUUAGAAAAAAAUAUUUCUGGUGCACAUCCUGAGAUAAAACAAUGGCACUGACGUGUUUUAAGAUCCGUCCGUGCAAGUAGCUUUCAGUUAAAACAGCUCAAACAUACAUUUUAGUCUGGGACUACGCUUAGGCCUUGUCUGUGAAACCAGGGGGAAAAAGAAGGGUGUGCUUUAUUAUACUCUCUGCAGAAUAUGACAGAAGAAAUGUGACUCACACCUUUAACUAUAAAAAGCAGGUAGAACUGCAGUUAGCAUGAAACCUCAAAUGUGUAGCUGGGCUGGAAAUUUAUUUUUGUAUGCAUGUAUAAUAUUUUUUCUCUUACAGAUGGACCAGCAAACAGAUUUAAAGGCUGUUGUGAAUGAUGGGUUACAGAAAUGUCUUCCUGUGUUUAUUAUUAUUUGAAGUUAUAUAUUCUGAUUUGUAAGCAAGAUUAUGAAGUCUCCUUUUGCUAAUCAUUUUACAGCAUUAUUAAAAAGUCCAUGUACACAAUGUU